GUAGGUGGCAAGCGUUGUCCGGAAUUAUUGGGCGUAAAGCGCGCGCAGGCGGUUCUUUAAGUCUGAUGUGAAAGCCCACGGGCUCAACCGUGGAGGGUCAUUGGAAACUGGAGAACUUGAGUACAGGAGAGGAAAGCGGAAUUCCACGUGUAGCGGUGAAAUGCGUAGAGACGUGGAGGAACACCAGUGGCGAAGGCGGCUUUCUGGUCUGUAACUGACGCUGAGGCGCGAAAGCGUGGGGAGCAAACAGGAUUAGAUACCCUGGUAGUCCACGCCGUAAACGAUGAGUGCUAAGUGUUAGGGGGUUUCCGCCCCUUAGUGCUGCAGCUAACGCAUUAAGCACUCCGCCUGGGGAGUACGGCCGCAAAGGCUG
rnacentral:rRNA from 1 species